rnacentral:rRNA from 1 species
GCGGUAACAGGCGUAGCAAUACGUGCUGACGAGCGGCGAACGGGUGCGUAAUACAUGGGAAUCAGCCCUUCAGUGGGGAAUAACCCGGCGAAAGCCGGGCUAAUGCCGCAUAAGAUCUCCGGAUGAAAGCGGGGGACCGUAAGGCCUCGCGCUGAUGGAUGAGCCCAUGUCGGAUUAGCUAGUUGGUGAGGUAAUGGCUCACCAAGGCGACGAUCCGUAGCUGGUCUGAGAGGACGGCCAGCCACACUGGGACUGAGACACGGCCCAGACUCCUACGGGAGGCAGCAGUGGGGAAUAUUGGACAGUGGGGGAAACCCUGAUCCAGCGACGCCGCGUGUGUGAAGAAGGCCUGCGGGUUGUAAAGCACUUUCGGUGGGAACGAAAUAUGCCGGGCUAAUACCCCGGUAGGCUGACGUUACUCAAUGAAGAAGCACCGGCUAACUCUGUGCCAGCGGCCGCGGUAAUACAGAGGGUGCGAGCGUUAAUCGGAAUUACUGGGCGUAAAGCGCACGUAGGUGGCGACGUAAGUCGGGUGUGAAAUCCCUGGGCUCAACCUGGGAACGGCAUUCGAGACUGUGUUGCUGGAGUACGGAAGAGGAGGGCGGAAUUCCCGGUGUAGCGG